rnacentral:rRNA from 1 species
UACACUCCUGCGGGAGGCAGCAGUGGGGAAUAUUGCACAAUGGGCGCAAGCCUGAUGCAGCCAUGCCGCGUGUAUGAAGAAGGCCUUCGGGUUGUAAAGUACUUUCAGCGGGGAGGAAGGCAAUACGGUUAAUAACCGUGUUGAUUGACGUUACCCGCAGAAGAAGCACCGGCUAACUCCGUGCCAGCAGCCGCGGUAAUACGGAGGGUGCAAGCGUUAAUCGGAAUUACUGGGCGUAAAGCGCACGCAGGCGGUCUGUCAAGUCGGAUGUGAAAUCCCCGGGCUCAACCUGGGAACUGCAUUCGAAACUGGCAGGCUUGAGUCUUGUAGAGGGGGGUAGAAUUCCAGGUGUAGCGGUGAAAUGCGUAGAGAUCUGGAGGAAUACCGGUGGCGAAGGCGGCCCCCUGGACAAAGACUGACGCUCAGGUGCGAAAGCGUGGGGAGCAAACAGGAUUAGAAACCCGUGUAGUCCCAUGA